rnacentral:misc_RNA from 1 species
AUCUAAACAGCAAGUUCGUGAGCAAGAGAAAAAAAGUUGCAAAUGCGUCGGAAAAUAUUCGCAUAAAUUAUUUUAGCGAUAAAGUAAAAUGUAAAGAAGCCGGCCCAGCGCAGGUCGCAAGUAUUUUGCACUAAUUUAAAAUUGUUUUGUUGAUAUUUAUUCGUCCAAAUACUGCUCGUUGUUGUGGAACUUUUUGACCAGCACAAACAAUGCGGCAAUUGUUGCUCUUGUUGUGUGUUAACUUGCUUUUGGUCGCUGUUGCAUCAGCGGAAAAAGAGGAUUGCACGGAUUUGGCGCGGGACGAGGAGACCUUGCUCGUGUUCUCGACUUUAGGGGGCGGACUCACGGCGAUAGACCCGCUAACGAGUGAGAUUCGGUGGACAAUUGAUGACGAGCCAGCCAUUAAAUCAACGUCGCAAACUGAUUUUCCUGUUCCACAAUAUUUGCCCGAUCCAAGAGAUGGAAGCCUCUACCAACUAGGAGACAUGGGCGACUUGAAAAAGCUCCCGUAUACGAUUCCACAACUUGUCGCUAAUGCGCCAUGUCGUUCAUCUGAUGGAAUCCUCUAUUCUGGUAAGAAGAGCGACUCCUGGUUUCUUAUCGAUCCCAAAACGGGUCGUCGUGAAAAGCUCAUGGGAUUCGAAAACGUAGACGGGCAUAUAAAAUCUCAUGAGUCUAUUGGCUGGGCUACAUCCCGUUCAGUAUAUUUGGGUAGAACCCAGUAUACUGUUAUGAUGUUUGACAGCCUCUCGAAGGAUAAAAACACCAAACCCUGGAAUAUUACAUUUUUUGAUUAUUCAUCACAUUCGAUGGCUCCGGAAAUUUCUAGUGAUUAUGAAUAUCUGCAUUUAACGGCGAGCUCCAGUGGACUGACAGCAACUCUGGAUCGAAAGCAUGGAAAAUUCAUUUGGCAGAAAGAUUUAUCAAGUCCUGUGAUUGCAGCAUUCCUUCUGAGUAAGGAAGGGUUGCUUAGUGUGCCUUUUACCACAGUAUCAGAUGAGACUCUUCGAAACGUAGUUGAGGAUGCCAAAGAUGGGAACACGAAUGACAUCAAAUUAUUUCAAUCUUUGUACAUUGGAGAGCAUCCUUUCGGACUUUACGCCCUCCCAUCCUUAGUUGAUAAGAACACUGCCACAAUUUCGUCAGAUCCGCCCGUGAAACUUAUCGAAGGUCCACAUAAAACGCUUAAGCCAAGCGAUCAGAAUUUGGUUUAUUUAAAUGACCUACUAGAGAAGGAGAAAGAGAAGAACCGAAAUAUUAUUGUUCUCGGCCAUUAUCAGAUGCCCAAAACAAGCGAAGAUAUUAAAAUUUCGUUGAUGCCUUCAAGUACUCGUAAUGUAGAUAAUAGAGAGCUCGCGACUAUAACAAAUAUGGAACUGCUCAAAGCAACUGAUUUCAUUCUCGUCGACGGCGGCAAAACCAAUUCAAUUGGGGUUCAAACCGAUGAAAGUUAUUCGAACUCAGAACGACCAACAAACAAAUCGAACGACACCCACAACGAAAAGAUCUUUCUUAUGCGGAUAUACAUCAAGAAGAUUUUUACUGAUUCGAAGGCGUGGCUGACAGACAAACAAAGUGGCCUCCUACACCAGAUCGUUCUCGUCCUCAUCGUUACGGUCCUGACUAUGUUCUGGUAUAUGUGGAGCACUGUCCGCGAGCUGCGUCAUAGUCAACACGGGUCGCAAUCAAUGAAUCGAAGCUCCGGGAGCAGUAAUGUGAACUAUCAGGAUCUAAUUGACUUGGGCGAUGGUGAAGUUCAAGUUGGGAAAAUUUCAUUCAAUUGCAACGAAUUGCUCGGCAAAGGUUGCGAAGGCACUUUUGUUUUUAAAGGGACAUUUGAGAAACGCAAAGUUGCAGUGAAACGUUUGUUGCCGGAAUGUUUUACGUUUGCAGAUCGUGAAGUGACAUUGCUCCGGGAAAGUGAUGCACAUGAAAAUGUAGUGCGGUACUUUUGCACUGAACAAGAUAGACAAUUCCGAUAUAUUGCAGUGGAACUUUGCGCUGCAACGUUGCAGGAUUAUACGGAAGGAGCGAUAGCAGAACAACUGAGGCAACAGAUUAAUGUGAGAGAGGUGUUGAAACAGGCGACAAGCGGAUUAAAUCAUCUGCAUUCAUUGAAUAUAGUUCACAGAGAUAUCAAGCCACAAAACGUUUUACUUUCUUUACCGGAUGUGAAUAAUUCCGUUCGGGCUAUGAUAUCUGAUUUUGGCUUAUGUAAAAAGCUCAACUACGGCAAAACCAGUUUUUCAAGACGCUCUGGAAUUACAGGGACAGAAGGUUGGAUUGCUCCCGAAAUGGUCAAGGGGCAAAGAACUACAACGUCAGUCGAUAUAUUCUCCUUGGGCUGUGUGUUUUACUACGUACUCACUGACGGGCGUCAUCCAUUUGGAGAUAACCUUAAACGCCAAGCGAAUAUUCUGUCGGGAGAGUAUGAUCUCGAUUAUCUCAUGGCAGAUGAUGUACAAAGUGAAAAUGUGUUAGCUCAGGAGUUAAUUGCAGAUAUGAUAAACCAUGAUUCUCUGAAGCGACCUCCGACUCGUGCGAUUUUGCAGCAUCCAUUUUUCUGGAAUCAAAAGAAAAUCUUAGCAUUUCUGCAAGAUGUCAGCGAUCGCGUGGAAAAACUGACAUUCAGUACUGAUCCGCUGAAAACAUUGGAGAAAAAUGGGCGAGAGAUUGUUCGAAGAAGUUGGCAUUUGCAUUUGGAUACAGAAAUCACAGCAGAUCUGCGGAAAUAUCGUGGCUACAUGGAGGAGAGUGUGCGAGAUUUGCUGCGUGCAGUAAGAAAUAAGAGACAUCAUUAUCAUGAGUUGACUGAAGACGUUCAAAAAAUUCUGGGGGCAAUUCCUCAUGAAUUCACCAACUACUGGAUUCAACGAUUUCCCCAUUUACUAUCCCACACUUAUCAUUCCCUGAGCAUUUGCUCACACGAGAAUCCUUUCAGGUCGUAUUACGACCCACAUUACAAGUUCACACGGCCUGAAUAUUUUUAUAGGAAAACCGACGACGUUGAAUUUGUCGAUAGUCCUAAAAUAAUUGCCAAAAAUGCGCCACCGGGGGCAAACAGUGGAAACGCAUCGGCCGGCAAUAGCCCUGCCAAAAAGCAGCAAGACAAUACCCCAAAAGAUAAUAAAGUGCAAAAACAGAACCGCAAGGGGGUUUACAAUUUUCGAAGAAAUCAAAAUGACAACUUUGCGAAUUUUGAUCCACCGAAUCGGAUGGGAAUGCAACCGGACGAUUCUGGUUAUGGGAACUUCAACAGAUUCCGAAAUCGCAGUAGUAACUUUCGACCAAGGCCUACCCAAACAAUUGAGAAUUUUGUUUGGCGGAUACCCAAAUCUGACGAUGCUCAAAAUUGAACACGAACUUUUUUAGUAUUUUAAAGAAAGCUUGGAGAAAUCUAAACGUUCAACAUGAUUUUAUGAGAAAUAUACAACAAAAGCAUUCAGGGACGGCUCGUUUUAAAUAUAAAAUCACAUUUUGUGAUAUUUAAACUUUUAGAAGCGGCAGCGCGAGCGAUAGCAAAGAUCGACCAAUAUUGAGGCAUCCUCACACCCGAAUUGAAACGAAAAUCACGAAAUAAGAAAUGUUCCAAUUAUGGAGUCAUAAAGUAUAGAACUUGCUGUGUAACACAUAUUUUGUAUGUGUUGUCUUUUGUGCGUCUUUGAUAUCGUUUUUGCACUUUUUAUCUGUGAUAACAAAACUUUUUAACUUAAUAAAUUAAAAUUUAUUGUAAAGUUUAUAUCGUUUUAGAGAAAUGAAUGAAAAAUAAAUAAUAUUUAAUUUACAAAUAAUGAAUCUUGUU